rnacentral:lncRNA from 1 species
UGAAAUCCCAGGGUUCAUCUCUUUUUUUUUUCUCUUAACAACAUAUGCAUGCAUAUCUAUGUAACCCCAAUGUCCUUUGGCUUCUGUAGACUGGAUAAAAAAUGAGUUGCAUUCUAUUUGUUCACACUUACAUUUUGUGGUUAGUAGUUCUCAUCUCGUACCAGCUCAGCCCCUUCCUUAACCCCUUACUCUUACACCUAUAUGUUGGGCAUCUCUAAGGACAGUUCAAGAACAAGACCAAUGUCGGGAGAUGCCACAUAGGAAACAAGCGUCCCUUAGCCUUGAGUGAUGAGAAUGUGGAGAUGCGGCAAGCCAGCCAUGGGCUGUGUGUAUCUGAACUAUGAGCAUUGAGCACACAAAGUGGACUGAACCAACGUUGCUCCUCUGUUUGGGUGAGCUUUGCUCUGGUCUUUACACUCGCUCUGCCAUGAUCUCCACACAGCUCAUGAGAUGGGCUAGAUGUCAGUCAAUCUGUUGACAGCAGACAUCAUGAAGCUAGACUCAACUCCCUGAAACCCGAUCCCUUGCUUCAUUUGAAUGGCUUCUCCUCAAUAAAAGGGUUCAGCACAUUCUCUGUC